UUUUUUGGUGGCAUUUCGUGUGUCUGCGGGGAGGAACGGAGUUGCACUGUUCAAUCCUGCAGCUUCAAUCGUGGGAAACCCGUUUGGAAAUGCUUUUUCAACAGCACCAGUCGGGGGGGUGGUAUUACGAUUUCCUUUUUUUUUUUGUCUCUUUCCUGAUUUCGACAUCACCGCGGCGCUCCCGUGGCACUGCCUUGAGGGUCCGCCUUCUCUGCCCCCCGACGUGCGUCCUCCGAAAGAGAGAACGAAAUCGAUGGAUGUGUGGUCGUCAGGGAGAAAAUUGGAACUCUUGAGCGACUUCGUCUCUUGCACACACACACACACAAUAGCUGAAAUGGAGUGUAGCCAGGCAGCUCUUCCGACUUCUGCGUAUCACGGCGGCUGCGUCUGCGGUUUGGUUUUUCUCGGGUCCGUGGAAUUCAUCGGAAGUUUGAGCACAAGGGGUGGCGAUGUUCCAGCCCUGGUCCGGUGUGAUGCAGUUUGCCUGGAAAACUGGCGUCAGAUUCGCGUUGCUGCAUCAUAUGUUGCGGAGCCGAACUUGAACGCGUGGAUACGCCACUUUCCACGAGUAGCGCGUAACGCCUUAACUGCUUGGGACGUAUAGUGAGCUUUGAACAUCUUACUUGGGUGGGGGGGGGGGGGGGGGAUGAUCCUCGUUUUCCGAAUAGAUUUCAUUGGAGAACUGUGACGUGCAUGGUUUUCGGCACAGUGGAAAACGGAUCUGGCAAUCAGAAAUAUUCGGUAUGAAACGCCAGUCCAAAUGUGCUGCUCGGCGCAUACAAACGGUAUCUGUACGAAACUUCGGGGGCUGUUUUCAGCUGGUGUGGCCCGAAGUGCCUGCCUGUUUCAGGCUGCCCACAAAUACCAGCGAAUGUGAUCGAAAUUUUUCCUCCAUGGUAAUUCGAUGAGCGCUGCCAGUACGCCCCUCUACGUGCUGCAGGGGAGUAGUCGUUUGGCGGGUCUGGCAGGUGCACGUCACACUUGCUUCCAUCUAUCUAGUCUUGGCAGCGUUGAAGUGGGAGGCAACGUGAUCCGGGGUGACAAUGCUCCAGAGUCGCCUUUAGGUUGACACACAGGAGCAGGCUAGAAGCUCACUGUUGUGUGCCCUUCACGUACGGCCUGCUCUCGACUCGGAUGUAGAGGAAAUCAGUUUCAGACCACAAAUUUUACGCUAGGUUUGAAAUGAAGUUGUAUAUUAUUUUUUACAGUGGUACUAUGAGCCUCUUUCAAAUAGAUUUAGUGGAAAACCUAAAAUUCGCAUGUUUGAUUGACGUUUAGUCGCAAAUAUAAAAUCAUUCAAGACAGAUAUUGUUUCUGUACAGGUGAACCGCGAUGCAGAACUGUGUAACUCAAAUCGAAUAAACAGGGACAUAAUACCUAGGAUGGUGAAUAUGACUACCGUUAUGAGAUACAGACAACCGACUCUCUAUGAUUGUUGUACACCACCCCAUUGGACUGCUCAAUUUUUUUAUAGUUUAUCGAUAAAAAUAAACAUAAAAUUUACUUAUUCCUCCAUUUAAAUUAGUACGAAGUAGUCUGCUGUGUCCACCAAAUUUCACACCAUCCGUCCUUUGAGAUCAUACUACCGGCGAGAAGGGAAGUGUGUUUCAAAGAAACCCGGGAAGUUAACGUCUGAUAUAAAUAACC
rnacentral:lncRNA from 1 species